rnacentral:rRNA from 1 species
UACAGAGGGGGCAAGCGUUGUUCGGAAUUACUGGGCGUAAAGGGCGCGUAGGCGGCCUGUUAAGUCGAACGUGAAAUCCCCGGGCUCAACCCGGGGACUGCGUCCGAUACUGGCAGGCUUGAAUUCGGGAGAGGGAUGCGGAAUUCCAGGUGUAGCGGUGAAAUGCGUAGAUAUCUGGAGGAACACCGGUGGCGAAGGCGGGUCUCUGGGCCGUAACUGACGCUGAGGAGCGAAAGCAUGGGGAGCGAACAGG